AGGGUCGUAGCUCAAUUGGUAGAGCACCGGUCUCCAAAACCGGGGGUUGCAGGUUCGAGUCCUGCCGGCCCUG
rnacentral:tRNA from 1 species